UUAUGUUCUUUGUAUUUUACAAAGCUAAGAUGGAAGCAGGUGAGAAUCCUGCACGGUCCCGCCACUGUAUUGAUGGAGUCUGAUCUAACUGGCCAUUGGGUAUAUCCUGAGAAGGCAGGUCAGAUGAUGAUAUCUGAGUCAGGAAACAUGCAUA
rnacentral:ncRNA from 1 species